UACGAAGGGUGCAAGCGUUACUCGGAAUUACUGGGCGUAAAGCGUGCGCAGGCGGUUUUGUAAGCCAGAUGUGAAAUCCCCGGGCUCAACCUGGGAAUGGCAUUUGGGACUGCAAGGCUUGAGUGCGGCAGAGGAGACUGGAAUUCCUGGUGUAGCAGUGAAAUGCGUAGAUAUCAGGAGGAAUACCGAUGGCGAAGGCAGGUCUCUGGGCUGACACUGACGCUCAUGCACGAAAGCGUGGGGAGCAAACAGG
rnacentral:rRNA from 1 species